UUGUGGAGGAGGACGCCGAAGGUGGGGCUAAUGACUGGGGUGAAGUCGUAACAAGGUAGCCGUACCGGAAGGUGCGGCUGGAUCACCUCCUAACAGGGAGACAACAAAAUGUUAAAUAUUAAUUUUGUCACCUUAGGUCGAUCGGUAUCUCACAUUCUUAAUUUUUAAGGAUUUUAUUUCCUAAGUUUUUUCUAGGUCACACCCAUUACUUUUCCUGGGCCAUUAGCUCAGGUGGUUAGAGCGCACCCCUGAUAAGGGUGAGGUCCCUGGUUCAAGUCCAGGAUGGCCCAUAUCUCUAUGUUGGGGGUAUAGCUCAGUUGGUAGAGCGCCUGCUUUGCAAGCAGGAUGUCAGCGGUUCGAGUUCGCUUACCUCCACUGAUCACCACCUCUUCCAUAAAAUGAUAAUUGGAAUUGUUUUGAGUUUUGAUCAAAUUCUGAACGAAUCUAGCCUCCUAAUUAAUCUUAUUAAGAUGCUGGACUCAUUGAAUUAAUUUCAUUGUUUUCAGAGAACCUUGACAACUGCAUAGAUUAUUUUUAAAGACAAUAAGCAUCUUUAAUGAUGCAGAUUUAUUAUUUGUGCAAAUGCAUUAAUAACAAUUCUAUUAAGCUGAUGCUUCAAUUUUGAAGUUAUUGGUCAAGCUACAA
rnacentral:misc_RNA from 1 species